GAUGAAGAACGUAGCAAAAUGCGAUACUUAGUGUGAAUUGCAGAAUCCCGUGAACCAUCGAGUUUUUGAACGCAAGUUGCGCCCGAAGCCUUUUGGCCGAGGGCACGUCUGCCUGGGCGUCACGCAUCGCGUCGCCCCCCACAAUUCUCCGUAAAGGGAACGUGUGUUUUGGGGGCGGAUAUUGGUCUCCCGUGCUCAUGGCGUGGUUGGCCGAAAUAGGAGUCCUUUCGAUGGACGCACGAACUAGUGGUGGUCGUAAAAACCCUCGUCUUUUGUUUCGUGCUGUUGCUCGCAAGGUAAACUCUUUAAAAACCCCAAUGUGUCGUCUCUUGACGACGCUUCGACCGCGACCCCAGGUCAGGCGGGACUACCCGCUGAGUUUAAGCAUAUCAAUAAGCGGAGGA
rnacentral:misc_RNA from 1 species